rnacentral:lncRNA from 1 species
AAAAAAAUAACAAAUUUUCAAAAAAAUCGAUCAUGGAUUAAAAAAAAAAUCACAAAUUUUCGAAAAAUUCUAUCAUGGAUUACAAAAAAAAAUUCGAUCAUGGACUAAAAAAAAAAAUCACAAAUUUUCAAAAAAUUCAAUCAUGGAUUACAUAAAAUUCGAUCAUGGAUUACAUAAAAUUCGAUCAUGGAUUACAUAAAAUUCGAUCAUGGAUUACAAAAAAAAACAAACCAAAAAAAACAAAAAAUUCAAUCGUGGAUUACAAAAAAAGAAAAAAACAGUUCGAUCAUGGAUUACAAAAAAUUCAAUCAUGGAUUACAAAAAACUCUAUCAUGGGUUAUAAAAAAAACAAAAAACAAAAAAUUAAAUCAUGGAUUACAAAAAAAAAAACAAACAUUUCGAUCAUGGAUUACAAAAAAAAAACAAACAUUUCGAUCAUGUAUUACAAAACAUUCGAUCAUGGAUUACAAA